CCUACGGGAGGCAGCAGUGGGGAAUAUUGCACAAUGGGGGAAACCCUGAUGCAGCGACGCCGCGUGAGUGAAGAAGUAAUUCGUUAUGUAAAGCUCUAUCAGCAGGGAAGAAAAUGACGGUACCUGAGUAAGAAGCCCCGGCUAACUACGUGCCAGCAGCCGCGGUAAUACGUAGGGGGCAAGCGUUAUCCGGAUUUACGGGGUGGAAAGGGAGCGUAGACGGCAGUGCAAGUCUGGAGUGAAAGGCGGGGGCUCAACCCCCGGACUGCUCUGGAAACUGUACGGCUGGAGUGCAGGAGAGGUAAGUGGAAUUCCUAGGGUAGCGGGGAAAUGCGUAGAUAUUAGGAGGAACACCAGUGGCGAAGGCGGCUUACUGGACUGUAACUGACGUUGAGGCUCGAAAGCGUGGGGAGCAAACAGGAUUAGAUACCCUUGUAGUC
rnacentral:rRNA from 1 species